rnacentral:rRNA from 1 species
AGUAACGCGUAGGUAAUCUAUCCUUACAUUUGGGAUAACAUUGGGAAACUGGUGCUAAUACCGAAUGGUCUUCUUUGCUGCGGGACGAAGGAGUAAAGGUGGCCUCUUCAUGAAAGCUACCGUGUAGGGAUGAGCCUGCGUACCAUUAGCUAGUAGGUGGGGUAACGGCCCACCUAGGCUACGAUGGUUAGCGGGUCUGAGAGGAUGAUCCGCCACACUGGAACUGAAACACGGACCAG